CUCCAUUUAACUUUGGGACCUGUCAGCUGUGUCAUGCUUCCUUUGUAGCCAAUGGAAGAGCUUCUUAUUUAUUGGAAAAGCUGUUAUCUUUUGUAUAGUAUCAGAGUCUGACUUGCACAAGUAACAUUU
rnacentral:snoRNA from 1 species